rnacentral:lncRNA from 1 species
UUUUCGGUUGAAGCUUGGUUAGGUUAACAAACAAGGGUCAUUUCUAAGGUCAUUGAAAACGAAAUUGCCGACGCAAAAGAGACAUUCACUAUACAUUAUUCACACAUCUCAACUUCGUUCCAUUUAUUUCUCAUUUGAAACCUUCACACUCUUAUUUCACAACUCAAUUUUUUUGUUUUUCACUAUUUUUCUUCCAAGCAAGCAUUCAUUUUUAUUUUCUCUAUAUUUUUUUUUCUUUUCUUUCACAUCAUAUUUACAAAA